UACGGAGGGGGCUAGCGUUGUUCGGAAUUACUGGGCGUAAAGGGCGCGUAGGCGGCGUGACAAGUCACUUGUGAAAUCUCCGGGCUUAACUCGGAGCGGCCAAGUGAUACUGUCGUGCUAGAGUGCGGAAGGGGCUACUGGAAUUCUCGGUGUAGCGGUGAAAUGCGUAGAUAUCGAGAGGAACACCUGCGGCGAAGGCGGGUAGCUGGGCCGACACUGACGCUGAGGCGCGAAAGCUAGGGGAGCGAACGGG
rnacentral:rRNA from 1 species